UUACAAUGAUGAUAAAACUUACUUUUCAGUUCUGCUUCUGAACCAAAAUAAUAGGAAGAUAACCAACUUUUACCAAAGCUCAAAUCUGAUUU
rfam:Saccharomyces kudriavzevii IFO 1802 unplaced genomic scaffold c2002, whole genome shotgun sequence.